rnacentral:rRNA from 1 species
CCAGAGUUUGAUCAUGGCUCAGAUUGAACGCUGGCGGCAGGCCUAACACAUGCAAGUCGAGCGGUAGCACAGAGAGCUUGCUCUCGGGUGACGAGCGGCGGACGGGUGAGUAAUGUCUGGGAAACUGCCUGAUGGAGGGGGAUAACUACUGGAAACGGUAGCUAAUACCGCAUAAUGUCGCAAGACCAAAGUGGGGGACCUUCGGGCCUCAUGCCAUCAGAUGUGCCCAGAUGGGAUUAGCUAGUAGGUGGGGUAACGGCUCACCUAGGCGACGAUCCCUAGCUGGUCUGAGAGGAUGACCAGCCACACUGGAACUGAGACACGGUCCAGACUCCUACGGGAGGCAGCAGUGGGGAAUAUUGCACAAUGGGCGCAAGCCUGAUGCAGCCAUGCCGCGUGUGUGAAGAAGGCCUUCGGGUUGUAAAGCACUUUCAGCGGGGAGGAAGGCGAUAAGGUUAAUAACCUUAUCGAUUGACGUUACCCGCAGAAGAAGCACCGGCUAACUCCGUGCCAGCAGCCGCGGUAAUACGGAGGGUGCAAGCGUUAAUCGGAAUUACUGGGCGUAAAGCGCACGCAGGCGGUCUGUCAAGUCGGAUGUGAAAUCCCCGGGCUCAACCUGGGAACUGCAUUCGAAACUGGCAGGCUAGAGUCUUGUAGAGGGGGGUAGAAUUCCAGGUGUAGCGGUGAAAUGCGUAGAGAUCUGGAGGAAUACCGGUGGCGAAGGCGGCCCCCUGGACAAAGACUGACGCUCAGGUGCGAAAGCGUGGGGAGCAAACAGGAUUAGAUACCCUGGUAGUCCACGCCGUAAACGAUGUCGAUUUGGAGGUUGUGCCCUUGAGGCGUGGCUUCCGGAGCUAACGCGUUAAAUCGACCGCCUGGGGAGUACGGCCGCAAGGUUAAAACUCAAAUGAAUUGACGGGGGCCCGCACAAGCGGUGGAGCAUGUGGUUUAAUUCGAUGCAACGCGAAGAACCUUACCUGGUCUUGACAUCCACAGAACUUUCCAGAGAUGGAUUGGUGCCUUCGGGAACUGUGAGACAGGUGCUGCAUGGCUGUCGUCAGCUCGUGUUGUGAAAUGUUGGGUUAAGUCCCGCAACGAGCGCAACCCUUAUCCUUUGUUGCCAGCGGUUCGGCCGGGAACUCAAAGGAGACUGCCAGUGAUAAACUGGAGGAAGGUGGGGAUGACGUCAAGUCAUCAUGGCCCUUACGACCAGGGCUACACACGUGCUACAAUGGCAUAUACAAAGAGAAGCGACCUCGCGAGAGCAAGCGGACCUCAUAAAGUAUGUCGUAGUCCGGAUUGGAGUCUGCAACUCGACUCCAUGAAGUCGGAAUCGCUAGUAAUCGUAGAUCAGAAUGCUACGGUGAAUACGUUCCCGGGCCUUGUACACACCGCCCGUCACACCAUGGGAGUGGGUUGC